GAUGAAGAACGUAGCGAAAUGCGAUAAGUAGUGUGAAUUGCAGAAUUCAGUGAAUCAUCGAAUCUUUGAACGCACAUUGCGCCCCUCGGUAUUCCGUGGGGCAUGCCUGUUCGAGCGUCAUUUACCCCUCAAGCCUAGCUUGGUAUUGGGUGCUUGUCCCGCCUCUCGCGCGGCGACUCACCUCAAAGUCAUUGGCAGCCCGCAUCUCGCCGGCCGUGAGCGCAGCACAGACGCGCUCUUGGCAACGACGGAUCGGCUCUCCAAAAGCUUAUUUCAACCACUGACCUCGGAUCAGGUAGGGAUACCCGCUGAACUUAAGCAUAUCAAUAAGCGGAGGA
rnacentral:misc_RNA from 1 species